UACGUAGGGCGCAAGCGUUGUCCGGAAUUAUUGGGCGUAAAGAGCUCGUAGGCGGUUUGUCGCGUCUGCCGUGAAAACCCGAGGCUUAACCUCGUGGCUUGCGGUGGAUACGGGCAGACUAGAGGUAGGUAGGGGAGAACGGAAUUCCUGGUGUAGCGGUGAAAUGCGCAGAUAUCAGGAGGAACACCGGUGGCGAAGGCGGAUCUCUGGGCCGAUACUGACGCUGAGGAGCGAAAGCGUGGGGAGCGAACAGG
rnacentral:rRNA from 1 species